rnacentral:rRNA from 1 species
AUGGCCUCGCACCACCGCGGCCGCAUCCCCUCCUACCUCGCCACCGCCGCUGCCCUCCUCCUUGCCUUCCUCCUCCCGCCGCUGGCCGCUUCCCAGUGGCCGAACUGCGGCAAUAAGGGCAACUUCACCACGAACAGCCCCUACCAAGCAAACAUCCGGGCCCUCUCCACCACCCUUCCCAAGAACGCCUCCUCCUCGCGGACGCUCUUCGCGGCCGACAGCGUCGGCACCGUUCCGGACAUCGUCUACGCGCUCGCGCUCUGCCGCGGCGACGCCAACGCCUCCGCCUGCGGCAACUGCGUGUCCAACGGCUUCAACGACGCGCAGAAGCUCUGCCCCUACGGUAAGGACGCCGCCGUCUACUACGACCUCUGCUACGUCGGCUUCUCCAACCAGAACAUCCUCUCCGCCACCGGCGGCGGCAACAGCGUCCUCAUACUGAUGAGCGACAAUAACGUGACCGCGCCAGUGGAGGCGUUCGACGCCGCCGUGGGCGUCCUCAUGAACGCCACCGCCGAUUACGCGGCCGCGAACAACUCCAGGCGGUUCGGGACCGGGGUGGGGGGUUUCGAGACGGUCGACAAGCGGAACCCCAAGAUUUACGGUGUGGCGCAGUGCAGGCCGGACAUGGCACCGGGCGAUUGCCGGAGCUGCCUCGGAAGUAUCAUCGCGAUGAGGUCCCAGUACUUAAUCGGGAGGCAGGGUGGUAGGAUUCUUGGAUUGCGGUGCAACUACAGGUAUGAGCAGUAUUCCUUCUUCACCGGGCCUUCUAUGCUGCAGCUCCCGGCGCCAACCGUGGGGGUAGCUCCAGCUCCGGCGCCGGCGAGCGUGGGGCCACCACCAGUCGGAGGAGGUGAGCUUGGAGAAAUAACUUCAUCUUGUUUGCACGAUUCAGUCUUUAGGCCUGAAGUAAUUUCACAAUUGAGGGAAGGGUGGCGGAGUUUCUUCCCAGAUCGAAGCUCACUGUUUUACCUUCACGAAAAAGUAUAA